rnacentral:rRNA from 1 species
CCCUUAGAUGUUCUGGGCUGCACACGCGCUACACUGAAGGAGGCAGCGUGUACUCCUGGAUCGAAAGAUUUGGGUAACCCGCGAAUCUCCUUCGUGCUAGGGAUUGAGGUUUGCAAUUAUCCUUCAUGAACGAGGAAUUCCCAGUAAGUGCAAGUCAUAAGCUUGCGCUGACUACGUCCCUGCCCUUUGUACACACCGCCCGUCGCUACUACCGAUUGAAUGAUUUAGUGAGGACUUCGGACUGGGACCGAUGCGGCUUUCGGGCUGCGUCGGUAUUCUGGAAAGAUGUCCAAACUGUNUNAUUUAGNGGAAGUAAAANUCGUANCA